rnacentral:rRNA from 1 species
GAUGAACGCUGGCGGCGUGCCUAAUACAUGCAAGUCGAGCGAACGGACGAUAAGGUUUCUUUUCUGAGGUUAGCGUGGGGCGUGUGAGUAGAACGUGGAGAACCCACCUAAGAGAUGGGGGUUAAUGCGGGAAACCUGAGGUUAAUACGGAUAGUACUCUUAGCGGCAAGGUUGAAAAGUUAAAGACGGUCUUGGUGUGGAUGAUCGCUUGUUCGCCGCUGCAUUAGUUAGUUGGUAGGGUAACGGCUGACCAAGGCAACGAUGGAUAGCCGAGCUGAGAGGAUGAUCGGCCACACUGGAACUGAGACACGGUCCAGACUCCUACGGGAGGCAGCAGUAGGGAAUAUUCGGCAAUGGGCGCAAGCCUGAUCCAGCCACGCCGCGUGAGUGAAGAAGGCCUUCGGAUCGUAAAGCUCUUUUGUUCGGGAAGAAAAUCUUUGUACUUAUCUCUCCACGUUCUGACGGUACCUAAACAGAAAGCCCCGGCUAACUACGUG